rnacentral:misc_RNA from 1 species
ACCGGUUAUUUCAAUGAGGGAAAAGUGCGUCAGGGAUCAUUACCAGAGUGCGAAUCCGUUUGAGACCAACCUCCCAUCCGUGUCUAUUAUACCCUGAUUGCUUCGACGGCCCGCGUUGGAUCGGCGGCCGGCGGGGGCCCCUUUGGCCCCCCGGGCCCCCCGGGCCCCGGGGGGGGAGAACCCCCCAAAAAAGAAAAAAAUUGUUGUAAAAAAAGGGGCCAGGCCCAAAGAAUUUUUUUUUAAAAGGGAAAACCCCCCCUAGAAAAUUUUUUAAAAGGGGGGGGGACUUUUUUUUGGUUUCCCGAAAACCCCGGGAAAAAAACCCCGGAAAAAAUUGGGAAAAAAAAAAAAAAGGGGAAUUUGGGAAAAAUCCCCGGGGAAAAUCCCCCCGGGCUUUUUUAAAAAAAAAAAAAAUAUGCCCCCCCCCCCGGAAAAAUUUUUCGGGGGGGGAAUUUUUUUUUUUUCCAAAAAAAACCAAAAAUAGGGGGGCCCCCCCUUUAAAAAAACAAAAGGGGGGGUGGUGGGGGGGGGGGGGCCCCCCCCCCCCC